rnacentral:rRNA from 1 species
GACGUAGGGGGCAAGCGUUAUUCGGAAUUAUUGGGCGUAAAGCGCUCGUAGGCGGGACUGGAAGUCCGUGUUGAAAGACCUCGGCUCAACUGAGGGACCGGCUCGGAUACUCUAGUUCUUGAGGCAAUCAGAGGGUGAUGGAAUUCCCGGUGUAGCGGUGAAAUGCGCAGAUAUCGGGAAGAACACCCGUGGCGAAGGCGGCUCUCUGGGACGGUACUGGACGCUGAGACGCGAAAGCGUGGGGAGCGAACGAGG